rnacentral:rRNA from 1 species
UAGCCACGGUAAUACCAGCUCUUCGAGUGGUAUGGAUGUUUAUUGGGCCUGAAGCAUCCGUAGCUGGCUGAACAAGUUCUCCGUUAAAAUCCAGCGAUUUAAUCGUUGGAUUGCGGGGGGAUACUGCUCGGCUAGGGGGUGGGAGAGGCCAACGGUAUUCUCGGGGUAGGGGUGAAAUCCUAUAAUCCCGGGAGGACCACCAGUGGCGAAGGC